UACGUAGGUGGCAAGCGUUGUCCGGAUUUAUUGGGUUUAAAGGGUGCGUAGGCGGCCCUGUAAGUCAGCGGUGAAAUACGGCAGCUCAACUGUCGAGGUGCCGUUGAUACUGCGGGGCUUGAGUGUUGAUGAGGCAGGCGGAAUUGACGGUGUAGCGGUGAAAUGCUUAGAUAUCGUCAAGAACACCGAUAGCGAAGGCAGCUUGCCAAGCAACAACUGACGCUGAGGCACGAAGUGCGGGGAUCAAACAGG
rnacentral:rRNA from 1 species